rnacentral:rRNA from 1 species
CCCCUAGAUGUUCUGGGCCGCACGCGCGCUACACUGAACAGUUCAACAAGUCUUAACCUUGGCCGACAGGCCCGGGCAAUCUUUGAACGCUGGUCGUGAUGGGGAUAGACUUUUGCAAUUUUUGGUCUUCAACGAGGAAUUCCUAGUAAACGCAAGUCAUCAACUUGCAUUGAUUACGUCCCUGCCCUUUGUACACACCGCCCGUCGCACCUACCGAUUGAAUGGUCCGGUGAAGCCUCCGGAUUGGCGCGCACCUCGGUGCCGCCGAGAAGUUGGCUAAACCUUACCAUUUAGAGGAAGGUGAAGUCGUAACA